ACAUGCCUAUAAUAUAGCGUUAAUGCAUCAGAUCCCAUUAGAAAUCCACAGUUAAGUGCUCUUAGGAUAGAGUAGUACUGGGAUGGGAGACCCAGGAAGUCCUAUUGUUUUACAUGCC
rnacentral:rRNA from 1 species